rnacentral:rRNA from 1 species
GAUGAACGCUGGCGGCGUGCUUAACACAUGCAAGUCGAACGGUGAAGCAGGAGCUUGCUCUUGUGGAUCAGUGGCGAACGGGUGAGUAACACGCGAGCAACCUGCCCCUGACUCUGGGAUAAGCGCUGGAAACGGCGUCUAAUACUGGAUAUGUGAUGUGACCGCAUGGUCUGCAUCUGGAAAGAAUUUCGGUUGGGGAUGGGCUCGCGGCCUAUCAGCUUGUUGGUGAGGUAAUGGCUCACCAAGGCGUCGACGGUUAGCCGGCCUGAGAGGGUGACCGGCCACACUGGGACUGAGACACGGCCCAGACUCCUACGGGAGGCAGCAGUGGGGAAUAUUGCACAAUGGGCGGAAGCCUGAUGCAGCAACGCCGCGUGAGGGAUGACGGCCUUCGGGUUGUAAACCUCUUUUAGCAGGGAAGAAGCGAAAGUGACGGUACCUGCAGAAAAAGCACCGGCUAACUACGUGCCAGCCGCCGCGGUAA